GAUGAACGCUGGCGGCGUGCCUAAUACAUGCAAGUCGAGCGAACAGAUGAGGAGCUUGCUCCUCUGACGUUAGCGGCGGACGGGUGAGUAACACGUGGAUAACCUACCUAUAAGACUGGGAUAACUUCGGGAAACCGGAGCUAAUACCGGAUAAUAUAUUGGACCGCAUGGUUCAAUAGUGAAAGACGGUUUUGCUGUCACUUAUAGAUGGAUCCGCGCCGCAUUAGCUAGUUGGUAAGGUAACGGCUUACCAAGGCAACGAUGCGUAGCCGACCUGAGAGGGUGAUCGGCCACACUGGAACUGAGACACGGUCCAGACUCCUACGGGAGGCAGCAGUAGGGAAUCUUCCGCAAUGGGCGAAAGCUUGACGGAGCAACGCCGCGUGAGUGAUGAAGGUCUUCGGAUCGUAAAACUCUGUUAUUAGGGAAGAACAAAUGUGUAAGUAACUAUGCACGUCUUGACGGUACCUAAUCAGAAAGCCACGGCUAACUACGUG
rnacentral:rRNA from 1 species